rnacentral:tRNA from 1 species
AGGGGAUAUAGUUAAUUAUAACAUUUGAUUUGCAUUCAAAAGGUAUUGAUUCUUCAAUUUUCCUUA